AUGGCCCAGACCAGACCAUUCACCAUUUCUUCCUCCCUCUAUUCUCAUGUAGAGAGAAAUCCGACUUUUGGGGUAGAGCAGAAAAGGAGGCCUGGGGCAGACCAGCCCAUAGUGGGGACCAGGGUCUGUGUCACCAUCGCCUGGAUUCCUGUCCUCCUCAUGCUCCUGUCUCACUGCACAGGAUCUUUGUCCCAGCCUGUGCUGACCCAGCCGCCCUCAGUCUCUGCAUCUCCGGGAACAACAGCCAGACUCACCUGCACCUUGAGCAGUGGCUUCAGUGUUGGCAGCUAUACCAUAUACUGGUACCAGCAGAAGCCAGGGACCCCUCCCAGGUAUCUCCUGUACUACUACUCAGACUCAAGUACACAGCUGGGACCUGGGAUUCCCAGUCGCUUCUCUGGCUCCAAGGACACCUCGGCCAAUGCAGGGAUUCUGCUCAUCUCUGGGCUCCAGCCUGUGGAUGAGGCUGACUAUUACUGUGCAUUUUGGCAUAGUACUGCUUGUCACAGUGACACACACAGAUGA